AGCGAACGCUGGCGGCAGGCCUAACACAUGCAAGUCGAACGAACCCUUCGGGGUUAGUGGCGGACGGGUGAGUAACACGUGGGAACGUGCCUUUAGGUCCGGAAUAACUCAGGGAAACUUGUGCUAAUACCGAAUGUGCCCCUCGGGGGAAAGAUUUAUCGCCUUUAGAGCGGCCCGCGUCUGAUUAGCUAGUUGGUGAGGUAAUGGCUCACCAAGGCUACGAUCAGUAGCUGGUCUGAGAGGAUGACCAGCCACAUUGGGACUGAGACACGGCCCAAAGUCCUACGGGAGGCAGCAGUGUGGAAUCUUGCGCAAUGGGCGAAAGCCUGACGCAGCCAUGCCGCGUGGAUGAUGUAGGUCUUAGGAUUGAAAAAUCCUUUCACCGGUGAAGAUAAUGACUGUAGCCGGAGAAGAAGCCCCGGCUAACUUCGUGCCAGCAGCCGCCGUAAAAC
rnacentral:rRNA from 1 species